CACAGAGCAACAAUGGCGUUUCUUACUGGAAAAAUCUCUACUUUACCCUUCAAAUUUUACACUGUUUCAUCUUCUUCACAACAACAAGAUGCAAACCAAAACCUGAAAUCAGUGAAAAUUAGAGAAGAUUGGAGGAAAAAAUCUCGACCUAUUCCUCCUGGUGGGACUUAUCCAGCUAAAGACCACUGCAGCCACUGUGGUUUGUGUGACACUUACUACAUUGCUCAUGUGAAUAAUGCAUGUGCUUUCUUGGGGGAUGGCAUGUCUAGAGUUGAAUGUAUGCAGUGAAACAAGACUUGGCUGUGAUAUUGCAGUGUGUUGUGGAAGUCAUAAGAAAAGUUUGCAAGCUAGAAAGAUGCUCAGAGAGAGUACUGGUUCAUGUUCUCUGAGACCGUGCUUUGGAACCUAUUGUCCAUGGACGAGGACGGAAAGAAGAUUCCUUGGAUGAGAUUUAUAUGGGGGUGUAUGAGAAUCUAUUGUAUGCUCGUAAAACUAAGCCUGUGGAAGGAGCUCAAUGGACGGGGAUAGUGACAACUAUUGCCGUGGAGAUGCUAAAAGCUGGGAUGGUGGAAGCUGUUAUUUGUGUUCAGAGUGAUCCAGAAGAUCGAUUUGCUCCUCGACCUGUCCUGGCAAGGACUCCAGAGGAAGUUAUAGCAGCUAAAGGUGUUAAGCCGACACUGUCUCCUAAUCUAAAUACUCUUGCCUUAGUUGAGGUUUCUUCUUUCACUUCCAUUAUCAUCAGAAUCUUUGAUUGUUCUGUUGUCAUCAAUGCAUUUAUAAUCUGUGUAACUCUAUUGAAUUCUUAAUGGAGCAUGUUGUCAUGGAUUGAAGAUGCCAUAUCUCUCCUCAAUAGGUAAUUGGAACUUGUGUAGCUAUGCUUUCUUAUUCUUCACCACACCACCAAAUUAGCUUUACUAUCACCCCCCCUCCCCCCGUCAGACCACCACAAUCUAAUACUGUAAUUGCCCCAAUCGGGGAUUUUAUUAAGAUAAGCUCUUUUGAUUUUCUGAUUUGUUCCAUAUUAUGGUUCGAGCUGAAUUCCUUUCCUGACAAUUUCAGAGUCUUUUUGCCAAAUUUUUCCUCUCUAUCCAUUUGAAGGUCGUAGGUUAUUUUUUGACUUUAUUUUAACUAUUUGAGCUUAUUUCUCCCCAAAUGCUUUCUCCCUUUCUUUUGGUAAGCAUCAACCAUCUGCAUAUCACACUUGUAAGGGUAGGCUUCUUGUUAUUUCUUUUCAUAACAAUGCAAUCAUGGAAUUUCACACUUUCUAGUCGUGCAUGCUCUAAUGCAUUAAAAACUGGGCUUUAAGAGAUUCCAGUUUUCACUGAGGAUUGUCACACAAGUGUAUAGUAUAACUUGUAGUUCAAAUGUUGAAGUAAGCAGUAUUGUUUCCUGGAAACAGGCAGCUGGUGUAAAGCGCCUUCUCUUCUGCGGGGUUGGCUGCCAAGUUCAAGCUUUAAGAUCAGUGGAGCAAUAUUUGAAUCUGGAAAAACUUUAUGUUCUAGGCACUAACUGUGUGGAUAAUGGACCACGAGAAGGUUUAGAUAAAUUUCUGAAGGCUGCUAGCAGUGAACCUGAAACAGUUCUCCACUAUGAGUUUAUGCAAGACUACAAGGUCCAUCUGAAGCAUUUGGAUGGCCAUAUUGAAGAGGUUCCCUAUUUCUGUUUACCAGCAAAUGACUUGGUUGAUGUUAUUGCACCAUCUUGUUACAGCUGUUUUGACUACACAAAUGGCUUGGCGGUGAGUUCUUUGUUCAUAAUUAAAGGCCCUGAUAUAUUGCACAAUACAAUUUUCACAAAGAAACAGACAAAAUAAACAUCCAAGAGAAGCAUGUGCACAGUACAUACACAUGUGUUAGACUUUCAAAUAGCAAAGGAAAGCAUACUCUUAAAUGCUACUUUGAUUAGUCUUAGAUUCUGAAAGGUGAUGUGUUACUGGUGGAAUAUUAAAUUUUACUGGUGUAAUUUCCUGCAUUUGCAAAUGUCUAUUUGUCUACUAUGUUUGGAACUUAUAAAUAGGUCUGUAUUAUAGUCAUCAAAUCGUUAAUCUUGAAUAGAUCUCUUCUCUCUUUAUGUCUCACAAACAGAUCUUUUUCUAGUGCGUAGUUUUCUGACAGGGAAAGAGGUUUUGCAAAGGCAGCCUCGAUCAUUGAGGAAUUUAUAGGUUCUAGAGCUAGACCUGGCCACUCAUUUGCUCCAACUGUUUUCAAGUGAAAGCUUGUGACAGAUCUGGAGAUAAGAUUCAGUGGUUGAGGUCCAAGGGGGAUCUUUUAGCAAACUCAUUUUGGUCUUGGAUGGUAAUGCAUUAUGGUUCCGUCAUAAGUUUACUCUUUAAGGUUUCUAGAAUCGUAUCAUUGAAGAUUCGAUGCUGCAUAUCUUAUUAUCCAUGAAAAUUAAGUAUUUUUGCUCCUUGGAAGAUUUAUUAGUCGAUGUCUUUCUCUAUUACAGUAGUUUCCAAACAUUAACGUGACAGAUUAUUUCGUUUAAAUAAAAGCAAAGCUUGAUAAUCCCGGUGCAUAUGCCAACAUUUCAAAUCUUACCUUCAAGGAACUUGUCAGGAUUUGGUGGUGGGAUACAUGGGUGUGCCGAAAUACAGUGGAAUCAGCAUGAUGCAGCAUCCCCAGUAUGUUACUGUCAGAAAUGAACGUGGUAGAGAAAUGCUAAACCUUAUCGAGAACCUCUUGGAAAUUACUCCGACGAUAAGUAGUGGUAAGCGGCGUCCAUUUGUCGUGGAAACCGUGAAGGCAGAUGAUGAAGCAAAAUUUGGAAGAGGUCCUUCUCAACCUGCUCCAAAGUUUGUUGGAAAUUUAAUAGCAUUUCUUCUCAACAUAGUCGGACCGAAGGGUCUAGAAUUUGCACGUUACUCGCUAGAUUAUCACACAAUCAGAAAUUACUUAAACGUAGUCCGCAAAUGGGGAAAAGAAAGAGCGGACAGACAUAUGCCUGAAUAUGCAAAGAAAAUUGUUAGCAUGUACAACGAGAGUGGAGAAAUUGAUCAAAUGCUUUCCAAAAAGUGAAUAAUUUGAUGGUAGAACUUUGGCAUUUGCAACUCAAGCUUUGGUGAACAAAGUUAUCCGGUACCUAUGCUGGUGGAAGGUAGCAAGUAUCCCAUAGAGUAGUCGAGGUGCGUGCGAGCUAACCCGUACACCAUGGUUAUCAAAAAAAUGUUGGUGAUUGCAACUCUUCAUGUACGUGUAUAGUGUCUAAUUAAACACACAUCAGAAUUAACUCUUUUUGAUAGAAUUGUAAUUCCUUUUAUAAUAAUUAACUAUGUUGACCAUUGGUAAAAACAACUCUUCAUGUAUGUGAUUUAGUUUCAAA